CGCACAAGGGGGAGCCUGCGAGAAAGGGCAGACCCACGUCAGACAGUUUCAUUAGCGUGACAACACACGCACCAUUAACGGCACCGCAGUGGAUGAAAUUACCUCCGUGGGCCGACCCAGCACAUUUCCAUCAAGAGUUAUCAAGUCACCACACCAAAAUCACCCUUUUCUACACACAGUCCUACAAAAAAGGUUUCCAAAUCACCAUGCACUUUCCCUCAUACAACAUAACCAUAUUUCCAUACGCUUACCCAAUUGGCGCACAAUUUUUCACUGGUCGCACAAAAUAGUCCCCAAAUCACCCUAAAGUGACCACAUUAUUUUCUAAAAAUCAAAAUCACCAUAUUUCCACAAGCAUUUCCUAAAUCACCAGUAUUCUACACAAAACCCCAUAUUUCCAAAGAAAGGUCCCAUAUAUCACAAGGUCCUAAAUUCCACAAAAAUCACAUUUCCACCCCUUUCCAGGAAAAAGUUCCCAAAGCAUCACAGAACUCUCCCAAUACCACAUUUCCCUCAUUCUUUCCACAAAAGAAACUUCUCUAUCACCACAUAAAAUGACCCACCUCUCACCAGAAAAAGUCACCACACUGCCAGAAAAAAGGUUUGCCCAUCAGCACACUAAAUGACCAGUUUUCCACACAGAAACCACCACGUGCCCAAACACAGGUACACACACAAAGUUUUCCAACCCCCCCACAACAUUUCCCCUCACACAGCACAAGCAUAUUUCCAUAAAGCUACCCAAUCACCAGAAAAUAUUCCACGCGUCCCACAACACACCACUUGCACAUUUCCACAAGCAAGCUCCCAAAUCCUCACAGAAUUCUCCCAAUACCACCAUAUUUCCUGAAACCUUUCCACAAACACAUCUCCAAAUUACCACAAAAUGACCAACCUCCCACCAAAAAAAAAUCAACACACUUCCAGGAAAAAAAAAAUGGGGGGUUCUCAAAUGACCCCACAGAACAAAGUUUUCCACACACAAGCCACCAUGUGCCCUCAAAAAAGGUUUCCAAAUCCCCACACCAUUUCCCUCACACAACGUAACCAUAUUUCAGUAUACUUACCCAACUGCCACACAAUUUUUCAUAGGCGCCACAACACACCAGUCACA